rnacentral:ncRNA from 1 species
AACACGGGAGCCCGGGGACCGGGCUGAGAGUGGGCCUUCACCCCGGCCCUUACCGUCGGACCUGAUCCGGGUAAUGCCGGCGAAGGAAGGCAGA